UGGGAGUAAAGCAGGGGAUCGCAAGACCUUGCGCUCUUGGAGCGGCCGAUGUCUGAUUAGCUAGUUGGUGAGGUAAAGGCUUACCAAGGCGACGAUCAGUAGCUGGUCUGAGAGGACGACCAGCCACACUGGGACUGAGACACGGCCCAGACUCCUACGGGAGGCAGCAGUGGGGAAUUUUGGACAAUGGGGGAAACCCUGAUCCAGCCAUGCCGCGUGAGUGAAGAAGGCCUUCGGGUUGUAAAGCUCUUUCAGCCGGAACGAAACGGUCACGGUUAAUACCCGUGACAACUGACGGUACCGGAAGAAGAAGCACCGGCUAACUACGUGCCAGCAGCCGCGGUAAUACGUAGGGUGCGAGCGUUAAUCGGAAUUACUGGGCGUAAAGCGUGCGCAGGCGGUUUUGUAAGUCAGAUGUGAAUCCCCGCCUAACCGUUGUGGCG
rnacentral:rRNA from 1 species